GUGAUUCCCGAAUCAAAGAUCCAGUAUGGCGGAAUCUGUCAGCUCGCGUUUCACGACUGUCUUUGAUUCCGCAUCCGCUGAUAUACGCUGCUGUGUGCAUUAGUCGAGACCAGAAGGAAACGUCUGUCUUGCUGGAAGUUCACUUGAAGUUUUUGUGACUGAAGCGCAGCUGAACAUUAUGAAUCAAAGUCAUUCAGAGUCUCAGAUGGAUGAGUCGGUGGAGAUGUUGAAGCCAUCAGCGUUUGAUCACAUUCCUGCAGUUGAGUUGAGUUCAGCGCUGCCCGUGCGAGUUCCUCCUGCGGCGAUCCCGAUGGACCUGCGUGUGGACGCGGCGUUGGACUCGACUCGCCACGAGAAGCAGGAACUGAUGACGCUCAAACACAAGCAGCAGGUGCAGCGGCAGAUCCUCAUCACAGAGUUUCAGAGACAAGAGCAGUUGUCACGACAACACGAGGCGCAGCUACAGGAACACAUGAAGCAUCAGCAGGAUCUUCUGGAGCAUCAGAGGAAGACGGAGCAGCAGCGUCUGGAGCAGGAGAGGGAGAAACACCAGCGAGAACAGAAGCUUCAGCUGCUCAAGAACAAACAGCGCGGUCAGGAGAGUGCGGUGGCCAGUACAGAAGUGAAGAUGCGACUGCAGGAGUUUGUUCUGAAUAAAAAGAAAGCGCUCGUUCAGCACAGUCUCAAUCACUGCAUCACCAGCGACCCGCGCUACUGGAAAACUCAUCACAGUUCUUCAGAUCCUCGUCAGUCGGCCGUCAGUACAUACAGUCAGACUGCCAUGGGCGUCUACGAGUCUAAAGAUGACUUUCCUCUUCGUAAAACAGCAUCGGAGCCGAAUCUUAAGCUGCGUUCUCGCCUAAAGCAGAAAGUGACUGAGCGGCGGAGCGGUCCAUUACUGCGGCGGAAAGACAGCCCCAUCAACAUGAAGAAGAAGCGCUCGCUGGACUUGGCAGUAGAUUUGACGUGCAGCAGCGCACCUGGUUCAGGGCCCAGUUCCCCUAACAACAGUUCACACGGCAACCUGAGCGACAACGGCAUCAGUGUGACCAUCUCCACAUCAUUGAACGAGUCGUCUCUAGCUCAACGGUUAGCUGGUCAUGAUGUUUCAGUCAGCCAACUAUCUCUGUAUACGUCUCCUUCACUACCCAACAUCACACUGGGUCUGCCCACUUCUGCUGCCAACAAAGUGAUGCCUACACAGCGGGACAGCGAGCAUUUGUCUGUGACCAGUUUACCCAUAACAACAUUCAUGACCAGCUCGCCCCUUCCACCAUAUCUUGGCAAGUCUGACACUGCCAGUUCCCACAAUGCACUGCGGCAGCACAUGGUCCUUCUCGAGCAGUCGGCUCCACACAUUCCUUUAGUAGCAGGUAUGGGGGGCGUCCCGCUACAGAAGCUGCGGCAUCACCGGCCGCUGGGCCGCACGCAGUCGGCUCCUCUUCCUCAGAGCACACAGGCUCUUCAACAGCUGGUGGUCCAACAGCAGCAUCAACAGUUCCUGGAGAAACACAAACAACAAUUCCAACAGAUGCACAUCAACAAGAUGUUGGGUAAACCGAGCGAGCGACAGCACCAGAGUCACCCGGAGGAAACUGAAGAGGAGCUGCGAGAGCAACAGUCCGUCACACAGACACAACAGAUUCACAUGAACAUCAACAUUAAACAAGAACCUCCUGAUCUACAAGAGGAUGAACAAGAGCUGCACUUCAAACAGCAGGCUCUUCUAUUGGAACAGCAGAGAAUUCAUCAGCUUAGAAACUAUCAGGCAUCAAUGGAGGCAGCUGGUGUGUCAAUCAAUUUUCCAGGGCACCGCCCCCUUUCCAGGGCCCAAUCAUCUCCUGCGUCUGCAUCCUUCAUUAGUGUGCAAGAACAACCUUCCACAACUCAUUUCACCACAGGUCUGGUGUAUGACUCUCUCAUGCAGAAGCACCAGUGCAUGUGCGGCAACACAAACACACACCCGGAACACGCCGGGCGCAUUCAAAGCAUCUGGUCUCGACUGCAGGAGACGGGGCUGCGCAGCCAGUGUGAGUGCAUUCGUGGGAGAAAAGCUUCAUUAGAGGAACUACAGACGGUUCAUUCUGAAGCUCAUGUGAUGCUGUACGGAACAAACCCACUACGACACAAACUAGACAGUUCCGUCUUAUCAAUGUUUGUGCGGUUGCCGUGUGGCGGUAUUGGGGUGGACAGCGACACGAUCUGGAAUGAAGUUCACUCGUCGAGCGCCGCGCGUUUCGCCGUCGGUUCUGUGGUCGAGCUCGUCUUUAAAGUGGCAACAGGAGAGCUGAAGAACGGCUUCGCCGUGGUUCGGCCGCCAGGACAUCAUGCAGAGGAGAGCACGCCGAUGGGCUUCUGUUACUUUAACUCUGUUGCCAUAGCAGCCAAACUCCUGCAACAACGUCUCAGUGUGAGCAGAAUUCUCAUUGUUGAUUGGGAUGUUCAUCAUGGCAACGGAACUCAACAAGCGUUCUACGAUGAUCCAAAUGUUCUUUACAUUUCGCUUCAUCGUUAUGACGAUGGCAAUUUCUUCCCGGGCAGCGGAGCUCCUGAAGAGGUGGGCAGCGGCUCCGGUGUCGGAUUCAAUGUCAAUGUGGCGUUUACUGGCGGUCUGGAGCCACCGAUGGGAGAUGCAGAAUAUCUCGCUGCCUUCAGGACGGUGGUGAUGCCGAUCGCUGAUGAGUUCGCUCCACAUAUCGUGCUGGUUUCUGCAGGUUUUGAUGCUGUGGACGGACAUCCUCCUCCACUCGGAGGUUAUAAACUCACCUCCAGAUGUUUAGGUCACCUGACUAAACAGCUGAUGGGGUUAGCGGGUGGUCGCGUGGUGCUGGCACUGGAGGGAGGUCAUGACCUCAAAGCCAUAUGUGACGCAUCAGAGGCGUGCGUGUCCGCGCUGCUGGGAAUCGAGCUGGAGCCGCUGUCAGCAGAACUCCUGAAACAGAGACCCAAUGACAACGCCGUGAACACUAUUGAAAAUGUUCUUGAAAUUCACAGUAAGUACUGGGGAUCUGUUCAGCGUUUCAAGUCCAGCGUGAGCCGAUCGCUGACUGAAGCUCAGAGGGGAGAUUCUGAAGACAACGAGACCAUAACGGCAAUGGCAUCUUUAUCGGUCACUACGCUGGAGAAACGAACGGAGGAUGAACCGAUGGAAGAGGAGCCGCCCAUGUAGAGGAAGGAGUUUAUGAAACCUCGGAGCUCUUCGCCUCUAUUUGACUUCAUUUUACGGACAUUCGCCGAGGGCAGCGUUGAGCAAUGAGACGUGUGGGCACAGAGCAUUAGUGCCGCCGACCGCUGGCACAGUUUGGAGAUCUUCACAAACACGGAGGGCCGUUCAAAAGAGUCAGUAUCAUUCUGACAGAGAGAGGGAAAGAGGAAGUGUCCAACAAACCGUCGACAGGCACCAGAAGACUGUCAUGUUUGACGCUGCUCUCAACACUCACUCAUGGAUGAAAUGAAUCUGAACAGUGAAUUUCUACAAUGAAAUGGGAAACUGAACCGUUUGAAUGAUGUUGGUGUCAGUGCGAGUCCAAGACGAACUGCAUAAAAAUGUACCGAGUGCUGUGACUCUGAG